GGGGGGUUGUACAAUGAGAAUCCAGUGAGCACUCCGUUGACUGUCUCCAUUGCUAAUUGUCCUUGGAAAGGCUUCUUUCCAGGGACAAAUAGGCAGCCUCUUUGGGCAAAAAGCAUAUGCCUUCUCUGAGACAAGGAGACACUCAACGUAAAUAAUUAUGAACUUUUAGGGGAAAUACUUGUCUUGGAAUAUCAUCGGUGCAGAAAGGGUGUCAGGAUUAGGCUUCAUGAUCAAAGAAUAUUUGACCAUAGAGCAGACAGGACCAUAAGAGUUCAGGUGGUCUCCUCCCUCCGUGAAGAGAAAGUGUAAUUACCAUUAAACUUCCUUGUACAAAAGACUGAGGCUCAGGUAGAAGGAAAGCUAGAACAGAGGUGGUGAUUUGUCCUAGGUGCCUUAAUCCUAUGGUUCUCUGACAGUCUGUGAACCCUGAGGACCCUGAAGUUCCCACUCUGAUUUCUACAUUUUGCAGGAAUGUUGGCUCGAUUUCCACUGUGAAUACACACAUUAUCAACUUGCAUAAACUGAUUCAUUUGACACCCAUUUAUUUGACCUUUCCUGUCCCAGCCAAGGAGACAGGACAUCUACAGCCUACAUUCCCUCAAGACCCAGUGGAAGAUUCAGAUAAUGGCAAAGAUUGGGAAUUAUCAAGAAGAGUCAUCUCCAGGGGCAGAGACGUGCAUUCUCAGUCUUAGACACCAUUUCUCCUCUUGCUGCCCCAUUUGGCUCAUCAUACAGACUGUCCACAGCACAGCUGCAGGGGUCCGACCCGAAUGCUUGAGGGGGAGCGCAACAAACGUCACGCUUUGAGGAAGGAAAAUGAAAUAAAACUCGAAUGUCUUUCGUGUCAGACCCGUACCAGGUCCUUUCACAUGCACGAUUUUACCUCUACAACAACCAAAGAUACAGCAAAAUUCAUGUGCCCUGUGGAGGUCCAGAGGAGAGAGUUUUUGCAGCUUGCCAUUCCUCAUAAAUCAGGCCAUAUGCACAACGAAAUCUCGACUUUCUCUCCCAGAGCACAGAAGAACUUAAAAUCACUCCAUGCUUCACACAAACUCCUAGGAUGUUAGUGGUUUCUGUCAGCUACCAGUGCAAAGGGAGGUCAACCUGAAAUGUAUCAAUAUUUUAUAGUACUCUGGAAUUUCUUCCAACGAUUGUCUCUCCAGGUGAGUUUCAGGUCAAAGAGAUAACCAAAUAGCUUUUCUUUCAUUCGCAAAUAUAAUUAAGCCGUGAGGUUUGCUAGACAUGGCUAUUAGUAUGUUCAUUUUCUGUUACCUUAAUAUCUGAAGAGUGUAUGUUUAAACAGUUUCUUUUACUGUAGUUAGUAAGUGAGCAGUAGUAGAAAAAUGAAUGAGCACAUGCCCCAAGGAGAAAACUUAGGAAAGGAGAAAGUAAAAUGCCUAGUGGAUAUAUGGAAAAUAUUUACUUGACACAGUAAUAAAAAUUGCAUAGGUAUACA
rnacentral:lncRNA from 1 species